CUUGCUGCAUGCUUUAUACAUGCAAGUCGAACGGAGGCCCUAGCUUGCUAGGUGUCCUUAGUGGCGCACGGGUGAGUAACACGUGGGAACAUACCUCAUAGUACGGAAUAACUGCGGGAAACUGUAGCUAAUACCGUAUAUUCCAGUAAUGGGAAAGAUUUAUCGCUAUGAGAUUGGCCCGCGCAAGAUUAGCUUGUUGGUGAGGUAAUGGCUCACCAAGGCUCCGAUCUUUAGCUGGUUUGAGAGGACGAUCAGCCACACUGGGACUGAGACACGGCCCAGACUCCUACGGGAGGCAGCAGUAGGGAAUAUUGGACAAUGGGGGAAACCCUGAUCCAGCAAUGCAGCGUGAGUGACGAAGGCCUUAGGGUUGUAAAACUCUUUCAUCGGUGAGGAUAAUGACAGUAGCCGAAGAAGAAGGACCGGCUAAUUCCGUGCCAGCAGCCGCGGUAAUACGGAAGGUCCUAGCGUUGUUCGGAAUUACUGGGCGUAAAGCGCAUGUAGGCGGAACAAAAAGUUAGAAGUGAAAUCCCUGGGCUCAACCUAGGAAUUGCUUUUAAAACUUUUGUUCUGGAAUUCAGGAGAGGAAAAUGGAAUUUCCAGUGUAGAGGUGAAAUUCGUAGAUAUUGGAAGGAACACCAGUGGCGAAGGCGAUUUUCUGGACUGAUAUUGACGCUGAGAUGCGAAGGCAUGGGUAGCAAACGGGAUUAGAUACCCCGGUAGUCCAUGCAGUAAACGAUGGGUGCUAGUCGUCGGACUUUUGUUCGGUGUCGUAGCUAACGCGUUAAGCACCCCGCCUGGGGAGUACGGUC
rnacentral:rRNA from 1 species